AGCUACUGAUGGAUCUACAGCCCCAAGUCUAUCUUUUGCUGUUUUUGUUGGCUAGCCUCAACCUUGGAGCCAUCCUCUCACCUCAGCCUCCCUGGGAGUCGGGAGUGAGUCUUCACAUGUGGUUGAGAAAGGCCUCUGCUACAGUCAUCAUCUCUGUUGGAACUGGCAUGGGAUCGAGGGCUUGGUUCCCACGUCUGGAUCCCCAAGCCUGCAGGAGGGAGGACAGGUGGGAGAGGACUCCCUGUCAUUGUGGCCAGGUCAGGUAUGGCUCCCUCCAUGCUGCAUGUCCCAGGCUGGCACGGCUGUUCCAGGAAUAAAGGCAAGGAACCACCAA
rnacentral:lncRNA from 1 species